rnacentral:rRNA from 1 species
AAAACGACUCUCGGCAACGGAUAUCUCGGCUCUCGCAUCGAUGAAGAACGUAGCGAAAUGCGAUACUUGGUGUGAAUUGCAGAAUCCCGUGAACCAUCGAGUUUUUGAACGCAAGUUGCGCCCGAAGCCUUCGGGCUGAGGGCACGUCUGCCUGGGUGUCACGC